AAGGACUUUUCUGUGGGUUCAGCACAGAAUUCAGCUCUUUCCUCUACCAACUGAGAGAUGUGACCAACAGGCCUGCAGGCGCCAGCAGCCCCAGGGCAGGACCGGAUCCCACUUCCCAGGACCUACCACUCGUCAUGUGAGACACUUUGGCGAGUUUCUUCAUGACGUUAUCAAGGCGUGACUGAGUGCUGUCUAACUCGUGGGAGAAGUCAUCCAGCAUCCUGAGGACACAGAAGUGGGGCACUGGUCAGCACGUGGCACAUCCCCUGGGGGUUCUGCUCACACACAUGGAUCAAAACACUGAUGUGAGCAGAGUGUCACACCUUGGCAGCCAAAAUGAAUGUGGCCUCCUCUCCUCUCCUGGAAGCAUCCAAGGGAGGGGAGAAAACCUGCUGAAACAGAAACUCUUGCUUUGGUGGGAAGUAACUUGGGAUUCCUGCCAGGCUGAUCCUCCCUGUGUGUUUGUGGCUGAACUCUACACACAUCUGCAAGGGCUUGCAGUUUAAAGUCUUGUUUCAGCCAUGGAUCCAGUGGGAAUGAGAUCUGCAGUUGCUUUUAAGGUGCUUUUCAAGCUCUGCAUGGAAGUUACCCUUUUACUUCCUCCACACAAUGACUGUAAUGAAUCUGAAAGCCUUCCUGAAUCCAUGCUUUGUCAAUGCCAGUGCGCAUCCAGA